UAGGCAACCUGCCCUAAAGUGGGGGACAACAAUCCGAAAGGGUUGCUAAUACCGCAUGUGGCCACGGACUCGCAUGAGUCUGUGUCCAAAGCCUGUGAGGGCGCUUUAGGAUGGGCUUGCGGCCUAUCAGCUUGUUGGUGGGGUAACGGCCUACCAAGGCGACGACGGGUAGCUGGUCUGAGAGGAUGGUCAGCCGGAUUGGGACUGAGAUACGGCCCAG
rnacentral:rRNA from 1 species